rnacentral:rRNA from 1 species
UUCCGGUUGAUCCUGCCAGAGGUUACUGCUAUCGGAGUUCGAUUAAGCCAUGCGAGUCUAAAGGUUUCUUCGGAAACCUUGGCGGACUGCUCAGUAACACGUGGAUAACCUACCCUUGGGACUGGAAUAACCCCGGGAAACUGGGGAUAAUACCGGAUAGAUCAGGGAUGCUGGAAUGCGCCUUGAUCCAAAGCUCCGGCGCCCAAGGAUGGGUCUGCGGCCUAUCAGGUUGUAGUGGGUGUAACGUACCUACUAGCCGACGACGGGUACGGGUUGUGAGAGCAAGAGCCCGGAGAUGGAUCCUGAGACACGAAUCCAGGCCCUACGGGGUGCAGCAGGCGCGAAACCUUUACAAUUGUGCGAAAGCAUGAUAAGGGAACUCCGAGUGCCAGUAUCUAAUACUGGCUGUCCUUGUGCCUAAAACGCACAAGAUAGCAAGGGCCGGGUAAGACCGGUGCCAGCCGCCGCGGUAACACCGGCGGCCCGAGUGGUAGCCGCUAUUAUUGGGUCUAAAGGGUCCGUAGCCGGUUCGAUAAGUCCUCUGGGAAAUCUGGUUGCUUAACAAUCAGACUGCCAAGGGAUACUGUCGAACUUGAGACCGGGAGAGGUAAGAGGUACUUCAGGGGUAGGAGUGAAAUCUUGUAAUCCCUGGGGGACCAUCUGUGGCGAAGGCGUCUUACCAGAACGGGUCUGACGGUGAGGGACGAAAGCUGGGGGCGCAAACCGGAUUAGAUACCCGGGUAGUCCCAGCCGUAAACGAUGCUCGCUAUGUGUCAGGUACGGUGUGACCGUAUCUGGUGCCGUAGGGAAGCCGUGAAGCGAGCCACCUGGGAAGUACGGCCGCAAGGCUGAAACUUAAAGGAAUUGGCGGGGGAGCACUACAACGGGUGGAGCCUGCGGUUUAAUUGGAUUCAACGCCGGGAA